CCUACGGGAGACAGCAGUGGGGAAUAUUGCACAAUGGGGGAAACCCUGAUGCAGCGACGCCGCGUGAGUGAAGAAGUAUUUCGGUACGUAAAGCUCUAUCAGCCGGGAAGAAUAUGACGGUACCUGACUAAGAAGCCCCGGCUAACUACGUGCCAGCAGCCGCGGUAAUACGUAAGGGGCAAGCGUUAUCCGGAUUUACUGGGUGUAAAGGGAGCGUAGACGGCAGCGCAAGUCUGGAGUGAAAUCCCAUGUCUUAACCAUGGAACUGCUUUGGAAACUGUGCAGCUAGAGUGCAGGAGAGGUAAGCGGAAUUCCUAGUGUAGCGGUGAAAUGCGUAGAUAUUAGGAGGAACACCAGUGGCGAAGGCGGCUUACUGGACUGUAACUGACGUUGAGGCUCGAAAGCGUGGGGAGCAAACAGGAUUAGAUACCCGAGUAGUC
rnacentral:rRNA from 1 species